GACGAACGCCGGCGGCGUGCUCAACACAUGCAAGUCGAACGGAAAGGCCCUGCUUUUGUGGGGUGCUCGAGUGGCGAACGGGUGAGUAACACGUGAGUAACCUGCCCUUGACUUUGGGAUAAAUCCAGGAAACUGGGGCUAAUACCGGAUAGGAGCCACUGCUGCAUGGUGGGGGUUGGAAAGUUUCGGCGGUUGGGGAUGGACUCGCGGCCUAUCAGCUUGUUGGUGGGGUAGUGGCUUACCAAGGCUUUGACGGGUAGCCGGCCUGAGAGGGUGACCGGCCACAUUGGGACUGGGAUACCGCCCAGACUCCUACGGGAGGCAGCAGUGGGAGAUAUUGCGCAAUGGGCGGAAGCCUGAUGCAGCAACGCCGCGUGCGGGAUGACGGCCUUCUGGUUGUAGACCGCUUUCGCCUGUGACGAAGCGUGAGUGACGGUAAUGGGUAGAGGAGCACCGGCUAAGUACGUG
rnacentral:rRNA from 1 species